CCCGGUGGUAAAUAGCGAGGGGGAAACACCCGUUCCCAUUUCGAAUACGGUAGUUAAGCCCCUCAGCGCUGAUGGUACUAUGCUGGAAGCGGUAUGGGAGAGUAAGUCGCUGCCGGGU
rnacentral:rRNA from 1 species